CUUCUUUUUCUUUUUUUCUUUUUUCUUCUACUUCUUCCCGUGGCCUCCCCUAGGUGAAAAAAAAUGAAACAGGGGACUGAAUGGUCCCCUCAUAUGGUUGGCCGAUUGACGAUCGGCCGGCACGAAAAUGGCCGACAGCUGGAGGAGAGCGCACCGCCAUCCCAAGGGACCCAAAUCGGUGGCCGGCGAUGACCACCGACGUCCGAAAAUAAAAAAAAAUUGAAACCUCUCCCACAAUAAAAUUCGAUGAUUUCGAUCACCGACGAGCGUGCACACCGGCACGGAAAGGAAGGGAGAGAAGAGAGGAAGAGAACCAUAUGCUUACCUCGAGCUCUGGCGACCUCUCCGACGAGGAAUUGCGGUGGGCACGGUGAUGGUUUCCCCGAGCGAUUUCCGACAAUCUUCGCCAUUUCGCUCCAGGAUUCUUUGGUAGGAAGAAGGG
rnacentral:lncRNA from 1 species